rnacentral:rRNA from 1 species
UUCUACUGCCAUACCGCCCUGAACGCGCCCGAUCUCGUCAGAUCUCGGAAGCAAAGCAGGGUCGGGCCUGGUUAGUACCUGGAUGGGAGACUGCCUGGGAACACCGGGUGCCGUAGGCU